UCUCCCCCCCUAUCUCUCUCUCUCUCACUCUCUCUCAUCUCAAUCUCUCCCAACCUUAGAAACCAUUACUUGACCUCUCAAUCUCUGGCUCAAGCUCUCUCCAGCGACCUGAAACGCUGAAGAAACCAUUGUGCGAUUAGGCUGGUUACAUUAGAUUCCACACCAUCUCGGCAAUCUUAUAUUGGCGAUUUCUGAUAUCUUCACAAUAUAUGUGAGUUCCUCUUUUUAAUAUCUUUCCACUAAAGAAAGUAGCUAUAAGCUUUGUUCUUGCAGUAGUUCUUGACAUUUACUUUGCUUGUCCCCUGAACGAUAAUUACUUACUCUAUUUGAAAGUUGAAACUAAAAUAAUCGAACAUAUUAUACCACAUUACCUUGUUCAAUGGGAUUUGAAGGGAUUCUUAAGCUGAUCUUUAGAGAAUUGAGUCACCAUCCAAGGACUAGCAUUCGAUUGAAGUUUGAAGUUAACUUAAAGUUUUGAUCUGCUGCAAUUAAUGUUCCUUUAAAUCUGCCAAUUUUGGUUUCAGGUUUGAGGAUUGUCUUAUUAUUUUAAAUCUGGCCAUCUGAUUUACUCCAAAUUUUGGGUGUUGAUUGAUCUUACUGAGAGCUAAACUUGAUCCAAGUUUGGCCACAAUCCAAUCCUUGGAUUGCAACUAAUUGCAGAUUUACUAUCCAGAAAUUUUAUUUGUCUAAUUAUUUCUAAUCUGGUCAAUAGAUUAAGAUCAUAUUAAUGAAAUUUCUCUUUCAUAACAAGUAUAAACUUUCUGUUCUGAAAAAUGGGGCUGCUGUAGUCGACCAUCCAAUCCUGCAUCAAGAGCACUACAUAAGUGAGUUUAUCCAGUUUCUGAAAAAUGGGGUUACAACACAAACAUGAUCUUCCUUUCCAUUGCCUUUGGAAUAAUGAAAAUCCAUAAAACAAAAAGGGGAAACAUUUGAGUGAGAGGACAAGAGGAAAACCCUUCCAUAUCUUCCUCUGCAUCUUUUUUGUUCUGCCUUCAUAAACAUAUAAUGUGUAGCUUCCUUUGUGACCCAUUUGAUGGUUGUCAAGAAGUAACUUUGUCAAAAGAUUAUAACCUGUUGACUGAAUAUAACUAUAUAAACUCUAAAUACAAUCUACUCUCUAAAAUUUCUUCCUGCAUGUUCUCACCAAAUGGUUAAGAGGAACGAUUCUCAGUUGACAAGAUCUCAGGUGACCUAUAAUAUGAUAACCUCAGUUUCCUGACCUUGAGUUUGGGCAUCUCAAUGGACCCAGUUAAAGGGGUAAUAUGCGGCAUUGCUUGCCUGCCCUUCUUAUUGGGAGAUUUGGUAUUUUUUGGUAUGACUCGACCAGUUAAUUAGGCUUUAGUACAUGGUCAUAAUAACCUAUGAAAUCAGUUAAAAGGUUUUAGAGAGUUUAGUUCUACUGCAACCUAGACACCAAGAAAUACAGACAACCUAUAGACCAUGACAGAAGUUGGCACAGAGCUUAUGAAGACAGAUCCAUUCUUGAAUCUUUAAAGCAGCAUAGGCCUAACUGCCUAAGGAUCUCCAAAAACCAAAGUGAAAGCAGAUCACUCUGGUACAUAGGAUCAUUUCUUGACUUCAAUUGUAAAAAAUAGGUAUGUUUUCUAUCCAUUUAAAUUUCUUAACCAUGUUGUAGACCUUAAUCAUUUUUUUCGCUGAUCCAUCUUGUGAUUUCACUUCUUACCUAUUUGCAGGUUUUACUUGGGAGUUCUUGGUUGUUCACCUUAAGUUGCUCCAAGUAAACAAAGGAUUGUGCUUGUAGUUUGUACCUAUUUGCAGUUAUUGUUCCAUAAACUUGAAUCUCUGUUAGUUCCAGGGCUGUUGUGUCGUUGUAUAAAACUGAAUUUGUGCUGCACCAUACUGUGAUAUCCUUGUGCUAAUUGAAUGAAGUUGCCUUUGCUUA